UGUCCAGGGGCGGGAAUCGAACCCACAACCUUCUGCUUACCGGGCAGGUGCAAUGUCCACUAGGCUACACUGGAC
rnacentral:tRNA from 1 species